rnacentral:rRNA from 1 species
UACGAAGGGGGCUAGCGUUGUUCGGAAUUACUGGGCGUAAAGCGCACGUAGGCGGAUAUUUAAGUCAGGGGUGAAAUCCCAGAGCUCAACUCUGGAACUGCCUUUGAUACUGGGUAUCUUGAGUAUGGAAGAGGUAAGUGGAAUUGCGAGUGUAGAGGUGAAAUUCGUAGAUAUUCGCAGGAACACCAGUGGCGAAGGCGGCUUACUGGUCCAUAACUGACGCUGAGGCGCGAAAGCCAGGGGAGCAAACGGG